rnacentral:rRNA from 1 species
CAGUAGCCACGGUAAUACAGAGGGUGCGAGCGUUAAUCGGAUUUACUGGGCGUAAAGCGUGCGUAGGCGGCUUUUUAAGUCGGAUGUGAAAUCCCCGAGCUUAACUUGGGAAUUGCAUUCGAUACUGGGAAGCUAGAGUAUGGGAGAGGAUGGUAGAAUUCCAGGUGUAGCGGUGAAAUGCGUAGAGAUCUGGAGGAAUACCGAUGGCGAAGGCAGCCAUCUGGCCUAAUACUGACGCUGAGGUACGAAAGCAUGGGGAGCAAACAGGAUUAGAUACCCGCGUAGUCCCUGUCUCUUAUAA